AACAUCGCGCACCUGCGGGAACCUGCGGAGGGAUCAUUACCGAGUGUGAACCCCCCCGUAAAAAAGAGGGGUUACCUCCCGUCCUUUGCUGGGAACCCCUUUCCAACUUGGAAGGAGGUUGUUUUCAGACCCUUCUGCUUCGGUGGGGUAACCCACCGGAACAACCUCAAAAAUAUUCUCAAUUCAAAACCGUUCAGUCCGAGAACUUUUUUGAAAAGCGAAAAAACUUUCAGCAACGGA
rnacentral:misc_RNA from 1 species